GGUCAAGUGAAGAAGCGCAUACGGUGGAUGCCUUGGCAGUCAGAGGCGAUGAAAGACGUGGUAGCCUGCGAAAAGCUUCGGGGAGUCGGCAAACAGACUUUGAUCCGGAGAUCUCUGAAUGGGGGAACCCACCUAGGAUAACCUAGGUAUCUUGUACUGAAUCCAUAGGUGCAAGAGGCGAACCAGGGGAACUGAAACAUCUAAGUACCCUGAGGAAAAGAAAUCAACCGAGAUUCCCUUAGUAGUGGCGAGCGAACGGGGAUUAGCCCUUAAGCUUCAUUGAUUUUAGCGGAACGCUCUGGAAAGUGCGGCCAUAGUGGGUGAUAGCCCCGUACGCGAAAGGAUCUUUGAAGUGAAAUCGAGUAGGACGGAGCACGAGAAACUUUGUCUGAACAUGGGGGGACCAUCCUCCAAGGCUAAAUACUACUGACUGACCGAUAGUGAACCAGUACCGUGAGGGAAAGGCGAAAAGAACCCCGGAGAGGGGAGUGAAAUAGAACCUGAAACCGUAUGCGUACAAGCAGUGGGAGCCUACUUGUUAGGUGACUGCGUACCUUUUGUAUAAUGGGUCAGCGACUUAUAUUCAGUGGCAAGCUUAACCGUAUAGGGUAGGCGUAGCGAAAGCGAGUCUUAAUAGGGCGUUUAGUCGCUGGGUAUAGACCCGAAACCGGGCGAUCUAUCCAUGAGCAGGUUGAAGGUUAGGUAACACUGACUGGAGGACCGAACCCACUCCCGUUGAAAAGGUAGGGGAUGACUUGUGGAUCGGAGUGAAAGGCUAAUCAAGCUCGGAGAUAGCUGGUUCUCCUCGAAAGCUAUUUAGGUAGCGCCUCAUGUAUCACUCUGGGGGGUAGAGCACUGUUUCGGCUAGGGGGUCAUCCCGACUUACCAAACCGAUGCAAACUCCGAAUACCCAGAAGUGCCGAGCAUGGGAGACACACGGCGGGUGCUAACGUCCGUCGUGAAAAGGGAAACAACCCAGACCGCCAGCUAAGGUCCCAAAGUUGUGGUUAAGUGGUAAACGAUGUGGGAAGGCUUAGACAGCUAGGAGGUUGGCUUAGAAGCAGCCAUCCUUUAAAGAAAGCGUAAUAGCUCACUAGUCGAGUCGGCCUGCGCGGAAGAUGUAACGGGGCUCAAACCACACACCGAAGCUGCGGGUGUCACGUAAGUGACGCGGUAGAGGAGCGUUCUGUAAGCCUGUGAAGGUGAGUUGAGAAGCUUGCUGGAGGUAUCAGAAGUGCGAAUGCUGACAUGAGUAACGACAAUGGGUGUGAAAAACACCCACGCCGAAAGACCAAGGGUUCCUGCGCAACGUUAAUCGACGCAGGGUUAGUCGGUUCCUAAGGCGAGGCUGAAAAGCGUAGUCGAUGGGAAACAGGUUAAUAUUCCUGUACUUCUGGUUACUGCGAUGGAGGGACGGAGAAGGCUAGGCCAGCUUGGCGUUGGUUGUCCAAGUUUAAGGUGGUAGGCUGAAAUCUUAGGUAAAUCCGGGGUUUCAAGGCCGAGAGCUGAUGACGAGUCGUCUUUUAGAUGACGAAGUGGUUGAUGCCAUGCUUCCAAGAAAAGCUUCUAAGCUUCAGGUAACCAGGAACCGUACCCCAAACCGACACAGGUGGUCGGGUAGAGAAUACCAAGGCGCUUGAGAGAACUCGGGUGAAGGAACUAGGCAAAAUGGCACCGUAACUUCGGGAGAAGGUGCGCCGGCUAGGGUGAAGGAUUUACUCCGUAAGCUCUGGCUGGUCGAAGAUACCAGGCCGCUGCGACUGUUUAUUAAAAACACAGCACUCUGCAAACACGAAAGUGGACGUAUAGGGUGUGACGCCUGCCCGGUGCCGGAAGGUUAAUUGAUGGGGUUAGCGCAAGCGAAGCUCUUGAUCGAAGCCCCGGUAAACGGCGGCCGUAACUAUAACGGUCCUAAGGUAGCGAAAUUCCUUGUCGGGUAAGUUCCGACCUGCACGAAUGGCGUAACGAUGGCGGCGCUGUCUCCACCCGAGACUCAGUGAAAUUGAAAUCGCUGUGAAGAUGCAGUGUAUCCGCGGCUAGACGGAGAGACCCCGUGAACCUUUACUGUAGCUUUGCACUGGACUUUGAGCCUGCUUGUGUAGGAUAGGUGGGAGGCUUUGAAGCGUGGACGCCAGUUCGCGUGGAGCCAUCCUUGAAAUACCACCCUGGCAUGCUUGAGGUUCUAACUCUGGUCCGUGAUCCGGAUCGAGGACAGUGUAUGGUGGGCAGUUUGACUGGGGCGGUCUCCUCCUAAAGAGUAACGGAGGAGUGCGAAGGUGCGCUCAGACCGGUCGGAAAUCGGUCGCAGAGUAUAAAGGCAAAAGCGCGCUUGACUGCGAGACAGACACGUCGAGCAGGUACGAAAGUAGGUCUUAGUGAUCCGGUGGUUCUGUAUGGAAGGGCCAUCGCUCAACGGAUAAAAGGUACUCCGGGGAUAACAGGCUGAUACCGCCCAAGAGUUCAUAUCGACGGCGGUGUUUGGCACCUCGAUGUCGGCUCAUCACAUCCUGGGGCUGAAGCCGGUCCCAAGGGUAUGGCUGUUCGCCAUUUAAAGUGGUACGCGAGCUGGGUUUAGAACGUCGUGAGACAGUUCGGUCCCUAUCUGCCGUGGACGUUUGAGAUUUGAGAGGGGCUGCUCCUAGUACGAGAGGACCGGAGUGGACGAACCUCUGGUGUUCCGGUUGUCACGCCAGUGGCAUUGCCGGGUAGCUAUGUUCGGAAAAGAUAACCGCUGAAAGCAUCUAAGCGGGAAACUUGCCUCAAGAUGAGAUCUCACUGGGAACUUGAUUCCCCUGAAGGGCCGUCGAAGACUACGACGUUGAUAGGCUGGGUGUGUAAGCGUUGUGAGGCGUUGAGCUAACCAGUACUAAUUGCCCGUGAGGCUUGACCAU
rnacentral:rRNA from 1 species